rfam:Geobacillus kaustophilus HTA426 DNA, complete genome.
CAACCGUUGGAGCGAUCCAACGCUGAACGGACAGAAGUCAGCAGAGGUCAUAGUACCCGUCUAGCUUAGAUAGAAGGGGAAGGAC